CACCUCUAGCAUUUCCAGUAUUAGAGGCACUGCCUGCCCAGUGACAUCUGUUUAAACGGCCGCGGUAUCCUAACCGUGCAAAGGUAGCAUAAUCACUUGUUCCCUAAAUAGGGACUUGUAUGAAUGGCCACACGAGGGUUUUACUGUCUCUUACUUCCAAUCAGUGAAAUUGACCUUCCCGUGAAGAGGCGGGAAUGACUAAAUAAGACGAGAAGACCCUAUGGAGCUUUAAUUAACUGAUUCACAAAAAACAACACACAAACCUAACUUUCAGGGACAACAAAACUUUUGAUUGAAUCAGCAAUUUCGGUUGGGGUGACCUCGGAGAACAAAACAACCUCCGAGUGAUUUAAAUCCAGACUAACCAGUCAAAAUAUAUAAUCACUUAUUGAUCCAAACCAUUGAUCAACGGAACAAGUUACCCUAGGGAUAACAGCGCAAUCCUAUUCCAGAGUCCAUAUCGACAAUUAGGGUUUACGACCUCGAUGUUGGAUCAAGACAUCCUAAUGGUGCAACCGCUAUUAAGGGUUCGUUUGUUCAACGAUUAAAGUCUU
rnacentral:rRNA from 1 species